GAGUUUGAUCCUGGCUCAGAUUGAACGCUGGCGGCAGGCCUAACACAUGCAAGUCGAGCGGUAGAGAGAAGCUUGCUUCUCUUGAGAGCGGCGGACGGGUGAGUAAUGCCUAGGAAUCUGCCUGGUAGUGGGGGAUAACGCUCGGAAACGGACGCUAAUACCGCAUACGUCCUACGGGAGAAAGCAGGGGACCUUCGGGCCUUGCGCUAUCAGAUGAGCCUAGGUCGGAUUAGCUAGUUGGUGAGGUAAUGGCUCACCAAGGCGACGAUCCGUAACUGGUCUGAGAGGAUGAUCAGUCACACUGGAACUGAGACACGGUCCAGACUCCUACGGGAGGCAGCAGUGGGGAAUAUUGGACAAUGGGCGAAAGGCCUGAUCCAGCCAUGCCGCGUGUGUGAAGAAGGUCUUCGGAUUGUAAAGCACUUUAAGUUGGGAGGAAGGGCAGUAAAUUAAUACUUUGCUGUUUUGACGUUACGACAGAAUAAGCACCGGCUAACUCUGUGCCAGCA
rnacentral:rRNA from 1 species